rnacentral:rRNA from 1 species
GAUGAACGCUGGCGGCGUGCCUAAUACAUGCAAGUUGUGCGGUAACAGAGAGAGCUUGCUCUCUGCUGACGAGCGGCGGACGGCAGAGUAACGCGUAGGACAUACCCCAAACUGAGGGAUAACUGCUCGAAAGAGUAGCUAAUACCGCAUGUGGUCUUCGGAUUAAAGCUUCGGCGGUUUGGGAGUGGCCUGCGUCCGAUUAGCUAGUUGGUGAGGUAAUUGCUCACCAAGGCGACGAUCGGUAGCUGGUCUGAGAGGAUGAUCAGCCUGACUGGAACUGAGAACGGUCCAGACUCCUACGGAGGCAGCAGUAGGGAAUUUUCCACAAUGGGCGAAAGCCUGAUGGAGCAACGCCGCGUGCAGGAUGAAUGCCUUCGGG